AGAGAUCCUUCCACUUCAGCCUCUUGAAUAAUGGGGACUGCAGUUUAUUUUCAGCUGAACUCCGGAGAGUGAAGGAAGAAGCUUUUUUUCUUCAUUCCUACAUAACCCAGGCAUUGAUCCAGGCAAUGAAGAUUCAGUGUAAACAACCACCACUAACAAGACCAUGGCCUUUGGAACCUGCGCUAAGAGGCAUGGAUGAGCUCCCUCAGCAUGUGGAUGGAGACUGAAGACAGGUCUGAAGGCUCAGUGUAGGUGUCUCCAUUCUCUAAGAAGUUUGGAGGAGAAGCUGGAUACAGCAAAACAGAUUGAGAAGCAGCAGCUGUUGGGAAGGGAGGAAAACUAGGAAAGCAUGGUGUCCAGAGUCCCUGAUGGAGAUAUUGACUAGUAGUAUCAGAUUCUGCCCGGCAGUUGAGGAGUUCACCUUUGGCUUAAGCAACAUGGAGUCACUGACUAUCUCGUGAAGGUGGUUGCAGGGGAAGGUCUGGAGAACUAAAUGGAGCAGUGAUAAGAGAGAAUGGGAGGUGGUAUGAUAGGACUCCUGGACACCCCAGACAUCAAUCAAAACACCAUAGACAAGAAGGUGUGGAUAUAAAAACUAGCAGUUAGAAGAAAUAAUAGAAAAGGAACUGCAACUACUUUGGAAAAAAAAGUAAUAAGCGCAAUUAAUACACUGAAUAAAGCCUCAAUAAGUACAACAGUGUAGUACUGACUUAUAUAUAGAAAAAACGUGAUCAGUGGAGCCAAAUUCUCAGAAUUAGAUAUAAGUGCAUAUGAGAAUUUUGUAUAUGAUAAAGGUUGUAUGUUAACGUAGUAAGUAAAAGAUGGACUAUUCAACAAAUGGGAUUGGUACAACUGGGUGACCACCUAAAAUAACAUAAUGUUGAAAACAUACUGUAUAUACUGUGGUAGGACAAAUUCCAAAUAUGCUAAAUAUUUAUAAACAAAUAAGGAAAAUAAUAAUAAUAAUAUUAACAUUA